AGCGAACGCUGGCGGCGUGCUUAACACAUGCAAGUCGAGCGAAGGUGUUUCAAGGGUAACCUUGAGAUACACUUAGCGGCGGACGGUGAGUAAUACGUGGAUAACUUACCUCUAGGACCUGGGAUAACCCCGGGAAACUGGGGCCAAUACCUGAUAAGACCACAUUGUCUACGGACAAAGGGUAAAGUGGCUGUGCAAACAGCUAUCGCCAAAAG
rnacentral:rRNA from 1 species